AGUGAACGCUGGCGGUAGGCCUAACACAUGCAAGUCGAACGGCAGCACAGAGGAGCUUGCUCCUUGGGUGGCGAGUGGCGGACGGGUGAGGAAUACAUCGGAAUCUACUCUGUCGUGAGGGAUAACGUAGGGAAACUUACGCUAAUACCGCAUACGACCUACGGGUGAAAGCAGGGGACCUUCGGGCCUCGCGCGAUUGAAUGAGCCGAUGUCGGAUUAGCUAGUUGGCGGGGUAAAGGCCCACCAAGGCGACGAUCCGUAGCUGGUUGGAGAGGAUGAUCAGCCACACUGGAACUGAGACACGGUCCAGACUCCUACGGGAGGCAGCAGUGGGGAAUAUUGGACAAUGGGCGCAAGCCUGAUCCAGCCAUACCGCGUGGGUGAAGAAGGCCUUCGGGUUGUAAAGCCCUUUUGUUGGGAAAGAAAUCCAGCUGGCUAAUACCCGGUUGGGAUGACGGUACCCAAAGAAUAAGCACCGGCUAACUUCGUGCCAGCCGCCGCCGUAA
rnacentral:rRNA from 1 species